rnacentral:ncRNA from 1 species
GCCAGUAACUGGGGUGAAGUCGUAACAAGGUAGCCGUAUCGGAAGGUGCGGCUGGAUCACCUCCUUU